rnacentral:rRNA from 1 species
GAACGAGAAGAACCUUCCCAGGUCUUGACAUCCUUUGACCACUCGAGAGAUCGAGCUUUCCUUUCGGGGACAAAGUGACAGGUGGUGCAUGGUUGUCGUCAGCUCGUGUCGUGAGAUGUUGGGUUAAGUCCCGCAACGAGCGCAACCCUUAUUACUAGUUGCCAGCAUUCAGUUGGGCACUCUAGUGAGACUGCCGGUGACAAACCGGAGGAAGGUGGGGAUGACGUCAAAUCAUCAUGCCCCUUAUGACCUGGGCUACACACGUGCUACAAUGGAUGGUACAUCGAGUCGCGAAGUCGUGAGGCCAAGCUAAUCUCUUAAAGCCAUUCUCAGUUCGGAUCGUAGGCUGCAA